GAUGAACGCUAGCGAUAGGCUUAACACAUGCAAGUCGAGGGGCAGCACAAGGUAGCUUGCUAUCUGGGUGGCGACCGGCGCACGGGUGCGUAACGCGUAUGCAACUUGCCCUAUACAGGAGGAUAACCCGUCGAAAGACGGACUAAUACUGCGUAUGCUCACAACUUGGCAUCAAGUGGUGAGGAAAGAAAUUCGGUAUAGGAUAGGCAUGCGUCCCAUUAGCUUGUUGGUGAGGUAACGGCUCACCAAGGCAACGAUGGGUAGGGGAACUGAGAGGUUUAUCCCCCACACUGGUACUGAGACACGGACCAGACUCCUACGGGAGGCAGCAGUGAGGAAUAUUGGUCAAGGGGCGCGAGCCUGAACCAGCCAAGUCGCGUGAAGGAUGACUGUCUUAUGGAUUGUAAACUUCUUUUAUACGGGAAUAACAAGAGUCACGUGUGACUCCCUGCAUGUACCGUAUGAAUAAGCAUCGGCUAACUCCGUG
rnacentral:rRNA from 1 species